AGACCCGAAACCCGGUGAUCUAGCCAUGGGCAGGUUGAAGGUUGGGUAACACUAACUGGAGGACCGAACCGACUAAUGUUGAAAAAUUAGCGGAUGACCUGUGGCUGGGGGUGAAAGGCCAAUCAAACCGGGAGAUAGCUGGUUCUCCCCGAAAGCUAUUUAGGUAGCGCCUCGUGAAUUCAUCUCCGGGGGUAGAGCACUGUUUCGGCUAGGGGGCCAUCCCGGCUUACCAACCCGAUGCAAACUGCGAAUACCGGAGAAUGUUAUCACGGGAGACACACGGCGGGUGCUAACGUCCGUCGUGAAGAGGGAAACAACCCAGACCGCCAGCUAAGGUCCCAAAGUCAUGGUUAAGUGGGAAACGAUGUGGGAAGGCCCAGACAGCCAGGAUGUUGGCUUAGAAGCAGCCAUCAUUUAAAGAAAGCGUAAUAGCUCACUGGUCGAGUCGGCCUGCGCGGAAGAUGUAACGGGGCUAAACCAUGCACCGAAGCUGCGGCAGCGACGCUUAUGCGUUGUUGGGUAGGGGAGCGUUCUGUAAGCCUGUGAAGGUGGCCUGUGAGGGUUGCUGGAGGUAUCAGAAGUGCGAAUGCUGACAUAAGUAACGAUAAAGCGGGUGAAAAGCCCGCUCGCCGGAAGACCAAGGGUUCCUGUCCAACGUUAAUCGGGGCAGGGUGAGUCGACCCCUAAGGCGAGGCCGAAAGGCGUAGUCGAUGGGAAACGGGUUAAUAUUCCCGUACUUGGUGUUACUGCGAAGGGGGGACGGAGAAGGCUAUGUUGGCCGGGCGACGGUUGUCCCGGUUUAAGCGUGUAGGUGUGUGUUCCAGGUAAAUCCGGUUCACUUUAACACUGAGGCGUGACGACGAGGCACUACGGUGCUGAAGCAACAAAUGCCCUGCUUCCAGGAAAAGCCUCUAAGCAUCAGGUAACAUCAAAUCGUACCCCAAACCGACACAGGUGGUCAGGUAGAGAAUACCAAGGCGCUUGAGAGAACUCGGGUGAAGGAACUAGGCAAAAUGGUGCCGUAACUUCGGGAGAAGGCACGCUGACAUGUAGGUGAAGUGAUUUACUCACGGAGCUGAAGUCAGUCGAAGAUACCAGCUGGCUGCAACUGUUUAUUAAAAACACAGCACUGUGCAAACACGAAAGUGGACGUAUACGGUGUGACGCCUGCCCGGUGCCGGAAGGUUAAUUGAUGGGGUCAGCGCAAGCGAAGCUCCUGAUCGAAGCCCCGGUAAACGGCGGCCGUAACUAUAACGGUCCUAAGGUAGCGAAAUUCCUUGUCGGGUAAGUUCCGACCUGCACGAAUGGCGUAAUGAUGGCCAGGCUGUCUCCACCCGAGACUCAGUGAAAUUGAACUCGCUGUGAAGAUGCAGUGUACCCGCGGCAAGACGGAAAGACCCCGUGAACCUUUACUAUAGCUUGACACUGAACAUUGAGCCUUGAUGUGUAGGAUAGGUGGGAGGCUUUGAAGUGUGGACGCCAGUCUGCAUGGAGCCGACCUUGAAAUACCACCCUUUAAUGUUUGAUGUUCUAACGUGGACCCGUAAUCCGGGUUGCGGACAGUGUCUGGUGGGUAGUUUGACUGGGGCGGUCUCCUCCUAAAGAGUAACGGAGGAGCACGAAGGUUGGCUAAUCCUGGUCGGACAUCAGGAGGUUAGUGCAAUGGCAUAAGCCAGCUUGACUGCGAGCGUGACGGCGCGAGCAGGUGCGAAAGCAGGUCAUAGUGAUCCGGUGGUUCUGAAUGGAAGGGCCAUCGCUCAACGGAUAAAAGGUACUCCGGGGAUAACAGGCUGAUACCGCCCAAGAGUUCAUAUCGACGGCGGUGUUUGGCACCUCGAUGUCGGCUCAUCACAUCCUGGGGCUGAAGUAGGUCCCAAGGGUAUGGCUGUUCGCCAUUUAAAGUGGUACGCGAGCUGGGUUUAGAACGUCGUGAGACAGUUCGGUCCCUAUCUGCCGUGGGCGCUGGAGAACUGAGGGGGGCUGCUCCUAGUACGAGAGGACCGGAGUGGACGCAUCACUGGUGUUCGGGUUGUCAUGCCAAUGGCACUGCCCGGUAGCUAAAUGCGGAAGAGAUAAGUGCUGAAAGCAUCUAAGCACGAAACUUGCCCCGAGAUGAGUUCUCCCUGAGACUUAGAGUCUCCUGAAGGAACGUUGAAGACGACGACGUUGAUAGGCCGGGUGUGUAAGCGCAGCGAUGCGUUGAGCUAACCGGUACUAAUGAACCGUGAGGCUUAACCUUACAA
rnacentral:rRNA from 1 species